rnacentral:lncRNA from 1 species
CAGCUUUUGAACCAUUUUAAUUUUCCUACAAAAGUGGGAUAUGCACUUCUUACAUCCUUAGGAAGGAAUGUAUUUGUGAUACAUCUAUGAAGUGUUCUAUAAGACAUACAGAUUUGGUUUAGCAGAGAUGUACAGCAUAGGCUUUAGUGGAUGUGCUGACAGUAACACUGGAACAUGGAAUCUAAUCUCACAUUGCCUCUACAGCAUUGGGUACCUGCCUUAAUUUUGUUAAAAUUUUUUUUUCUAGUUAAAAACAAAGAGUAGUUUACAGGCUCUCAUCCAACGAAAAGUUUUGUAAUUAGGCAGCUCUUUUCUCUAUGCUAUAAGGAACUAGAUAUAUCAAAAAUCUAAAAUGACUUAUGAUUGUGUUUUUGAACCCAGUAGUCCAACUGUAUAUUUUAAAUCUGAUUUUUAAAAAAUGUCUGGUAAGUAUAUUUUGAGACCAGAAAUACAAAGCAUUUCUUUCCUUUUGUCUCAGAUAAUUUU